ensembl:lncRNA
UGUGUGUGUGUGUGUGUGUGUGUGUGUGUGUGUGUGUGUUGAGCUCCAAGAUAUAGUUUCCUUCAAUCUGGGCAGAAUUUUAAAGCUUAGCUAUAUUUUGCCUUUGCCUUUCAUUCCUUCAUUCCCACUUUUUCUUCCCCCAUUCCAUAUUAUGGACAUUGUUGUAUUUCAGUGUGCAGAACAGAAGAGGAUAAAUCACUUUGAUGGCAGUCGCGUCCUGCAUCCCAAAAAUCUGAAGGGGCACAAAGUACUGUGGGCUGUGGGGGAGUGCAGGGAGGAGCUAUGCCCACACAUCUGAGCGCUGGCCCCUUGCAGGCUUAUCUGCCUCAAGGAUAUUACUCUACUUUAGAUGUCACCCUGGGUCUGAGGUAAUACUGAUCCAUAUCACCCUCUUCUCCUUUUUUUACCCAGGCAAAAACAUAACUGUUUCAACUUUGACCUGGACAUGUAUUAUUAUGUGUAGAUUUACUUUCUUCAGUGUAUUGAUUCAAUGUGAGAAGCCAUUAGCAGCAGGGACCACUGAGUUAGGCUACAUGUAUGUCCUCUUUAAAUCAGUCCCAGAAACAUUUGUUAUCUUCAAAUCUGUUUGAGCCAAAUAUCACCUCUGUCAAAUUGAAAUGUAGUCCUCCGGGCUGUUCUCAUAUUAAAGUCAUGUAUCACAGUUUCCAGUUGCACAGUUAUUAUACUUUGUCAGUGCUAAACAUGUAAUUGUUCUUCAGAGCAGAUUGCUCCUGAACAUUUCCUGUCAAUACUAAUAAGAGAUAAAUUGUUCCAUUUCAUAUUUUAUUCAUGCCCCGGUUUGUAGAACAUUAUUCUAAAUGUUUUUGUUUUUACUGUGGUUAAUUAUACCCUGUCUUGAGUUCAUGUCAACAACAUCUAAAGGUAAUAAUGAGGAAUAGAAGCCAUUUGUGAGUCAUUACACACUGCAGUUUGCUCGCCUCUUAUUUUUGUGUAGAGUAAUUAUUGUAUUUUCAAAUGGAUUACAUCCACAUAUUUAGUUCCCACUUUCUCUAUUAUCUCUUGGUUAAAGCCACUGAAGCGGGUCUAGCUCCAUCUGUUGUGGUUUGUCAUAGUUACUGUCUGUAUGGGAUGUGUUACUUAAAAGGGUCUACUUCCUCUUUCUUAUGUUUUACACACCCUCCUUUACAAUGGACAGUACAUCUUCAUAAUGUGGCCUGUGUGCUGUGUUUUAUUUCUACUGCUGUUCAAGUUGAAUACUACAUAUAUAUCUUUGCUGGCAUGAAUUUAUGAGUGAAAUAAAAAAAUACCUUUUAGGUUGUGAGCAUAUUGUAGUUUCAUUUUAAUGCUGACUCCACUGAAGCAGCCACUCAUUGACAUUUUCAAUACUUUUUUAUUUUUAUUUUUUACAAAUGGCUGAAUGAGGCUUUAAAUGCAGCUGAUAUUUGAAUCUUGGUGCCAUACGUAAACAGACGUGGCCCAGAUUCCUUUGGUUUUUUGAUAUGACAGUAAGGUAUAAAGAUUUUAUAAGUUACUAUCCUAAGAUUAUGCAAGCCAAUUUUACUCCCAUUGACAAUCUCUUUAAACCUGAGGAAAAUGGCCUUUUGCUGACAAAUACAUUUUUAAGUGGUUGUAUUAAGGUGUGGGGUUACAGUUUUGCUUUGAAAUAAGAACAGCACCAUAGCUAUAACACAUUUCAUUCGGUGUGACAGUAUAAAAUAUAUCAGGAAGCUCUAUGCUUGGCUGGGCUGUGUUGGUUGCCAGGUGCCAGUAUGUCAUCAUUUCCUCUCAGGGCCAGUCUUAAUUAGACAACAGAAACACUGCAGGCUGCUGCCAAUGGGGACUGAGUUCCCUCCAAACCCACAGAACAUUGUUCAUACUCUUCCCAGCACCAUACAUUCCUAUGGGGUCUGUAUGAGUGAGCAUGUGUGUAUUUGGAGGAGGCGUGGAUGGGGAGAUGUCACAUUUCAGUGUGUGUGUGUGUUGAGUGUGUGUUCCCUGUCUACAGUAUGUGUGCACACGUAGAUGUGUGAUGGGCAGUGUCAUUGUGUCAGUGUCCUUGUUAUUGUUUCUGUGUGUGUAUGUACGUGCAUGUGUGUGUCACACUGUAUGUGUUUGAGUGCGAUGUGUCCAGUGUACUCCACUGCAGAUGUAAACAGAAGUGACAUGCCUAUGGUAUAUUUACGGGUCCUUGCCCUUUGUCUCCCCAACUCUCUCUAAACUACCUUAUUCUCUACCUCUGAUUUUAGCAACAGCUCACUUUUGACAUAUGCGCUCCUUGUUCACAGACACAUUCCAUGCAGAAUGAAACUAUUUAAUGCAUAGCCACUUCUGUAUGUUCUCCCAGUUUGGGUUUUUAGGUCUUCAGAGUGCUGCAUGGCAGAAGUUUUUAGGUCAGUGCUCUUCUACUUUCUGCACUGCUCAGACUCUGGGGAUUCAGAAAUCACCGAUGGGAGCUGUGCUGCUGUCAAGCAAAGCCUCUUUCAGGUUGUCACAGGCUGCAAAGGAGUCCGGUUUGUACAUCAAUGUCCUGUUCUUUACUGCUGAGACUCAGUAAAGCCCCCCAAGACAGUGUAUGUCCUGAGUCUCAACGUUUGUGUACCAUCCAUGUAGGCCUACUGAUUUAUCUUAUUCUUUAUCGCUGGCAACAUUGAUGUGAUGUAAAUGCUGAGUACUCAGAUACAUUAAUAUUACAGAGGGUAUUGACUAAAUACAGUAUAUGUGUUGUAAUGAUUGUCAGAUUUUUCUCUCAGGCAUUUAGACCAAGAAAUGAAUUACCCCAGUAGGCCAAUCGAAAUUGAAAUGUAAUUACAUUUAGGUAAUUAUUUAAUAUUUAAUUUGAUAUUUACAAGGAAAUUCAUUUGUCCACAUUAAGCCAACAUAAUGCAAAUCAUUGGUGUAUUUAUGCUCAGUGUUUUAGUACUAGGCACAUCCCCUGCAUGUCACUGUCAGUAAUUGAGUGCAUUGAUUCAAGGAAAAUUAAAAACUGCCUGAUUAUUUCACGACAAAUUGAUGAGAACAGCAGCAAGUCAAUGUAUCCAUUUCCAAAUCCAAAUCGAAUUGGAAUUUGGAGUACAUCUGUGACUGCUAUCUCAGGCAGGCAGGCUUGCAGGCAUAGUCAGUGUGGCUGGUUUGGCCAAGCCAGCUAAGAACAGCUUGUUAUCUGUGUCUCAUAAUGAGAAGAAUCAAACAUAUUCCUCUACUUCUGUGGGUCUCCCUUCUAGAAUACAUUGUCAAUGUUUAGUUGUGUUCUCCAACUGAAACACUCUCAGCUUUUGAAGCUCCAUUCGUCAUCAGCGCGCACCAAUCCGCUUAACAAUGUGUGUCUGGGUGAUGUUUCCAUGGAAACUGUGUUUACUGCCCGGCUGAGGUCUAAAAAUGGUACCAAAGUGAUAACCGAGCCAGGCCUGUAAGUGGGGUGUACUGAGAGUGGGACAAUGUAACAGGUGGAUCCACAUGAAUGCACACAAACCAAUGAUUGUAUUUGUCUUUGUUAGGUUUUACCUUUAUAAGUUGUAACAUUUCUCCUUUAAAUAAGAUGAGAACUGAUUAUCAAUGUUUAGUUGUGAUCUCCAACUGAAACACUCUCAGCUUUUGAAGCUCCAUUCGUCAUCAGCGUGCACCCUUCUGCUUAACAAUGUGUGUCUGGGUGAUGUUUCCAUGGAAACUGUGUUGAUAAAAAAGGUGAUGAUCAAACAUCAGGUUUUAUUUGUGAAGAUAAGGUAAAUCAACUAAUUAGGGAGAGCAUUGUAUUCGGCAUUGCAACUGAAGGAAGUGAAUACUUAUUAUAGUAGAACUGGAUGUCUUCUGUGUCUGUAUUACUCCUGUGACCAUGGUUAUUGUAACUGGCAGAUUUAAAAGGGAGGGGUGCUGAGUAGUGAGAGCUGGUGAGUGCCAAUUUCGAUAGAAGCAAAUUAGAAAUUAAAGUUGACCUUGUGGCCAUACUGUAUUAGUGUGGAGAGCCAAUUGUAGCAUUAAAAGGCUAAUGAAUGCCAUUAUUUCCCUUCCCCACAAUGUGGAUUUCACUGGCACGUUGCCCAAACCUGGACACCAUGAGAUAGAUUGCCUUUUUAAAUUACUCUUACCAAGGGGCACCUUUGUCAUUAUAAUUGCUUAAUUUCCUCCAAUUGUAUCCAUCCCCUAACUUACAACAUAUUGUAGCAGCAGUGGUUUGUGCAACCUUGAGUAAGAGUUAGUGUUAUGUUGUUUUAUACCAAUAAAUGUUCAUCUUGUUCACUGCCAGUUCUGAAGCCAUUUCAAGGCUAACAUACAUGCAAAUGCAAUAUAAGAGCUGUUUUAGUCAUUCCAUUAUGAACCUAAUCCAUUUCGUUUUCCUUGUGUCAGAAGUGGGUUUGCACAACCUCGACCAGAUGGAUGGGCCAUUUUUACAUUAUAGACAUCAAAAAGUGGAGCAAAAGAUCCAGGAGAUGGUCACGACAGGGGUCAUCAGGCUAUCCAACGGCCCUUGGAUGGCCCCUGUAGUCCUUGUCAAGAAGAAGGACAGCUCAUGUUGCUCCUAUGUGGACUUCAGGCAGCUGAACUAUGUGACUAGGAAGAAUUCCUAUCCCCUCCCGCUCCCUCCAUCUCCUGAAAGCCAGGCUGAAGACUGCCUUCACAAUUGCAUUAGGUCUUUGUCUGUUCACUUUGAUUCCCUUUGGACUCUGCAACACUCUGUGCCUACCUUUGAGCACCUUAUGGAGCAAGUUAUGACCACAAUCCCCUGCAACAAGUGUGUUGUCUACCUGGAUGACCUCCUUGUGCACUCACCGGACUUCAAGGGUCCAUUCCCUUGAAGGGGCAAGCCACUUUGGGCACACAAAUACCAUCCACCGCCUCAGAGAGAAUUCUUACUGGGCUGGAGUGGUAUGUGUAUGCCUGCGAAACCUGUAUUGGCCACAAAGGCCCAACUGGACACUCCCAUGCCCCAUUACAGCAAUACCAGGUGUGGGUCCCCAUCAAGCGGGUCCUUUCCCCAAGACUGAGGCGGGCAACCGGUUCGUAUUGUAGCCAUGGACUGCAUUACCGUGGCCAGAGGCCAAUGUAGUUCCCGACCAGUCCACCACAACUACUGCCAACAAGCUGGUGAAGGGGAUGUUUUGCCGGUUUGGAGUACUGGAAGAUGUCCACAGUGAUCAGACGAGAAAUGUUGACAAUAAGGUGUUAAAGACAGUCUGUAUGGAACUGGUGGUGCGCAGGACGAGAACCAGCCCCCUGUUCUUUAAAGCAAAAGGCUGGUCGAACGGUCUAAUCAGACUUUGGCGAUACAUCUGGCUACGCUCACCUCAAACCACCAGAAGGACUGGGACAAACAUCUGUCAUUGGUCUAUUGGGCUUACCGGUCAGCAGUACAAGAGUCCACUGGCUGCACCCCAGCGGCGCUGAUGUUAGGCAGAUAACUAAACACUACAGUGGACUUUUCCUUUGGAAUACCACCUCAACCUUACAGUAAGCAGUGCUUGGAUACAGGCCAUAACUUCGUACGGUGUCGCUUGAUGGAAUGCAUGGUCAAACUUACGCUGUGAGGUCCAGGGACUUGGCCUCUCACUAUGACUCAUCGGAAGGUAUCAAUCAAUCACAUUUAUUUCAUAAAGCCCUUUAUACAUAAGCAUUGCUAUACAUAUACCCAGCCUAAAACCCCCAAAAGGAAGCAAUGCAGAUGUAGAAGGACAGUGUUAGGUGUAGAAGGACAGUGUUAGGUGUAGAAGAACAGUGUUAGGUGUAGAAGGACAGUGUUUGGUGUAGAAGCAGAGUGUUAGGUGUAGAAGGACAGUGUUAGGUGUGGAAGCAGAGUGUUAGGUGUAGAAGGACAGUGUUAGGUGUAGAAGAACAGUGUUAGGUGUAGAAUGACAGUGUUAGGUGUAGAAGGACAGUGUUAGGUGUAGAAGGACAGUGUUAAGUGUAGAAGGACAGUGUUAAGUGUAGAAGAACAGUGUUAGGUGUAGAAGAACAGUGUUAGGUGUAGAAGAAUAGUGUUAGGUGUAGAAGGACAGUGUUAGGUGUAGAAGCAGAGUGUUAGGUGUAGAAGGACAGUGUUAAGUGUAGAAGAACAGUGUUAGGUGUAGAAGGACAUUGUUAGGUGUAGAAGGACAGUGUUAGGUGUAGAAGGACAGUGUUAGGUGUAGAAGAACAGUGUUAGGUGUAGAAGGGGACAGUGUUAGGUGUAGGACAGUGUUAAGUGUAGAAGAACAGUGUUAUGUGUAGAAGAACAGUGUUAUGUGUAGAAGAACAGUGUUAGGUGUAGAAGAACAGUGUUAGGUUUAGAAGGACAGUGUUAGGUGUAGAAGCAGAGUGUUAGGUAUAGAAGGACAGUGUUAGGUGUAGAAGGACAGUGUUAGGUGUAGAAGAACAGUGUUAGGUGUAGAAGGGGACAGUGUUAGGUGUAGAAGAACAGUGUUAGGUGAAGAAGGACAGUGUUAGGUGUAGAAGAACAGUGUUAGGUGUAGAAGAACAGUGUUAGGUGUAGAAGGACAGUGUUAGGUGAAGAAGCAGUGUUAGGUAAGGAGACAUGUGAAAUGAGUUCACAUUGAACAAAAAUCUAUACUCUAUCUAGCCUACCAGGUCUGACAACAUCCUCCCUGUCUCCAUGACAACAUGUUUGUAGAAAAUAAAACAAAUAUCCCACUGGGCACAGACGUCAGUUCAACGUCUAGUUUUGAUUUACAUUUGGUUGAGUUGUCAAAUACAGUGAAUUCAACGUGAAAUCAACAAAUCAUUUUACCAUGUCAUUUGAUUUAGGUUAAAAGUUUGGUGAAAGAAAGAUGUAAUUCCCUUACGUUGAUUACUUUUUUCAAAUCCAAUCAGUUUACCAUGUUGAUUAAACGUCAUCACAUUGAAUUUGUUGGUUGAAAUGACGUGGAAACAACGUUGAUUCAACUAGUUUUUGCUCAGUCGGAUGAUGCCCAGAGAGAGACUCACAUGGUGUUGGUGCAGGGCUGACUCUGCUCAUUUUUCUGUCACAUCAAUAAAAUGCUUUUUAGCAAACUGACAGCCACAAGUACAUACAGUACUGUACUGAAGCUUUCCACAGACACACAACAGCUGUUCGAAAAAAAUACUAUGGUCUUAUGAAAAUAAUCCUUGAUCUUAAUUGCUCUUCAAUACCAGAAUACAGUCAAGUAAUAUAGUGUCGGCAUGUCUUCAUAUAGAUACUGUAUAUGAUGGAUUGAAAGUAAGUUACAUUUGAGAAAAGUGAGGAUAUUAUGCAAACAAAAGCUCUAGGACCUAUAAAGGUAGAGUAAAUUCAAUUAUUUCACAGAUAUUUUCAGUUGUCCAUUGGCACUGACCAGUGGCUAGCCCCAGCCCUAUGGAGUGAAGCCAGGCAUAGUAAUCAUUCUUCAGUAAUCAGAGCUCACUGGACUGUCUCCUGGACCUUGCCUGAUAGACUAGAUCAAUGUCCUGUCAGAUCCUACCCUUCAAUAUUCCACGUAACUGGGCUCUCCACAGCCCAGGCCCCACAACACAGGAAUGACCUGCCAUCUCACAAUAUCCAGUCUCCACUAGUAUUUACCUGCCGUUUCAUAGGUGGCAAUUGAAAUCAAUUCAACAUAAUUGAUAAUUACCUGGUGUCACAUCGGUAUCUAGAGGUGUUUUUAUAGGAUGAGACUAUAUUUACUUCAAAGACAAGUCAUUGUAGGCCUCGCAAAUCUUGUAUCCAUAUAUUUAUGUAUGGCUCUGGUAUGGCUCUGGUAUUGGGCUUCAAAAUGUGGGUUUUCAAUAUGUUUCCAUAACUACUGUAUGUACAAUUAGACUGGUGCAGACAAAACACAUGAUUUUCACACAAAGUCAUUAACUUGCAGCAAUUUUAACUUGCAACCUUUCAAGCUUAUACUAAAGGUGGCAAUACAUUUACUGAGGCUUAUAAUUGUUUGUCAAUAAAGAAUGAUACCAACAUAGCUCCAGUAGUUUGUGGAGGUAUAUUUUCAACUCUAAUUUGUUGAAUUAGCAUUCAUGAUUAUAUAUAGAUAUAGGACCUUAAUUUGAUAACCCUG